CCUUGAAAGAGUGCGUAACAGCUCACUGGUCAAGUGAUUCCGCGCCGACAAUGUAGCGGGGCUCAAGUACACCGCCGAAGUUGUGGCAAUGAUCUUUUUGGAUUGUUGGGUAGGGGAGCGUCGUGUAGCCAGUGAAGCUGCGGUGUAAACCAGUGGUGGAGGCUAUGCGAGUGAGAAUGCAGGCAUGAGUAGCGAAAGAUGAGUGAGAAACUCAUCCGCCGGAUGAUCAAGGGUUCCAGGGUCAAGUUAAUCUGCCCUGGGUGAGUCGGGGCCUAAGGCGAGGCCGACAGGCGUAGUCGAUGGAUAACGGGUUGAUAUUCCCGUACCGGUG
rnacentral:rRNA from 1 species